CAGAGUAGGAAACCCUGCGUGAAGUGCUGCUGGAAUGGGGAGUUGUAUGGCAGACGAAGGACCAAAAGUCCGCGAUAGCGUUUCCGCACCCGCUGC
rnacentral:ncRNA from 1 species